UACAGAGACCUCAAGCGUUAUCCGGAAUCAUUGGGCGUAAAGCGUACCGAUAGGUGGUUUAUUAAGUCUGGGGUAAAAGCCGGAAGCUCAACUUCCGCGUUUGCUUUAGAUACUAAUAGACUAGAGGGGCAAAGAGGUGCUUGGAACCAACGGUGUAGUAGUGAAAUGCGCAGAUAUCAGGAGGAACACCGAUGGCGAAGGCAGCUCGCUGGGACGGUACUGACGCUGAGACGCGAAAGCGUGGGGAGCAAACAGG
rnacentral:rRNA from 1 species